UGGGGAAUAUUGCACAAUGGGCGCAAGCCUGAUGCAGCCAUGCCGCGUGUGUGAAGAAGGCCCUAGGGUUGUAAAGCACUUUCAGCAGUGAGGAAAGGUUGUACGUUAAUACCGUGCAGCUGUGACGUUAACUGCAGAAGAAGCACCGGCUAACUCCGUGCCAGCAGCCGCGGUAAUACGGAGGGUGCGAGCGUUAAUCGGAAUUACUGGGCGUAAAGCGCGCGUAGGUGGAUUGGUCAGUCAGAUGUGAAAGCCCAGGGCUCAACCUUGGAACUGCACCUGAUACUGCCAAUCUAGAAUACGGUAGAGGGUAGUGGAAUUUCCUGUGUAGCGGUGAAAUGCGUAGAUAUAGGAAGGAACACCAGUGGCGAAGGCGACUACCUGGACCGAUAUUGACACUGAGGUGCGAAAGCGUGGGGAGCAAACAGGAUUAGAUACCCUGGUAGUCCACGCCGUAAACGAUGUCUACUAGCCGUUGGGAGACUUGAUCUUUUAGUGGCGCAGCUAACGCGAUAAGUAGACCGCCUGGGGAGUACGGCCGCAAGGUUAAAACUCAAAUGAAUUGACGGGGGCCCGCACAAGCGGUGGAGCAUGUGGUUUAAUUCGACGCAACGCGAAGAACCUUACCAACUCUUGACAUCCUGCGAACUUGCUAGAGAUAGCUUGGUGCCUUCGGGAACGCAGAGACAGGUGCUGCAUGGCU
rnacentral:rRNA from 1 species